UACGUAGGAUCCGAGCGUUGUCCGGAUUUACUGGGUGUAAAGGGUGCGCAGGCGGACUGGUAAGUCAGAGGUGAAAUCUCGUCGCUUAACGACGAAACUGCCUUUGAUACUAUCAGUCUUGAAUCCGGUAGAGAUCUGUGGAAUUCCGAGUGUAGCAGUGAAAUGUGUAGAUAUUCGGAAGAACACCAGUGGCGAAGGCGGCUCACUGGUCCGGUACUGACGCUGAGGUGCGAAAGCGUGGGGAGCAAACAGG
rnacentral:rRNA from 1 species